CCUACGGGAGGCAGCAGUGAGGAAUAUUGGUCAAUGGACGAGAGUCUGAACCAGCCAAGUAGCGUGAAGGAUGACUGCCCUAUGGGCUGUAAACUUCUUUUAUAUGGGAAUAAAAUGUGCCACGUGUGGGAGUUUGUAUGUACCAUAUGAAUAAGGAUCGGCUAACUCCGUGCCAGGAGCCGCGGUAAUGCGGAGGGUCCGAGCGUUAUCCGGUUUUAUUGGGUUUAAAGGGAGCGUAGGUGGAUUGUUAAGUCAGUUGUGAAAGUUUGGGGCUCAACCGUAAGAUUGCAGUUGAAACUGGCAGUCUUGAGUACGGUAGAGGUGGGCGGAAUUCGUGGUGUAGCGGUGAAAUGCUUAGAUAUCACGAAGAACUCCGAUUGCGAAGGCAGCUCGCUGGACUGCAACUGACGCUGAGGCUCGAAAGUGUGGGUAUCAAACAGGAUUAGAUACCCCAGUAGUC
rnacentral:rRNA from 1 species